rnacentral:rRNA from 1 species
UACGGGGGGGGCAAGCGUUGUUCGGAAUUACUGGGCGUAAAGGGCUCGUAGGCGGCCAACUAAGUCGGACGUGAAAUCCCUCGGCUUAACCGGGGAACUGCGUCUGAUACUGGAUGGCUUGAAUCCGGGAGAGGGAUGCGGAAUUCCAGGUGUAGCGGUGAAAUGCGUAGAUAUCUGGAGGAACACCAAUGGCGAAGGCAGCUCGCUGGGACGUGACUGACGCUGAGACGCGAAAGCGUGGGGAGCAAACAGG